UACAGAGGGUGCGAGCGUUAAUCGGAAUUACUGGGCGUAAAGCGCACGUAGGUGGCGACGUAAGUCGGGUGUGAAAGCCCCGGGCUUAACCUGGGAAUUGCAUUCGAGACUGUGUCGCUGGAGUACGGAAGAGGAAGGCGGAAUUCCCGGUGUAGCGGUGAAAUGCGUAGAUAUCGGGAGGAACAUCAGUGGCGAAGGCGGCCUUCUGGUCCAGUACUGACACUCAAGUGCGAAAGCGUGGGGAGCAAACAGG
rnacentral:rRNA from 1 species